UACGUAGGCAGCAAGCGUUGUUCGGAGUUACUGGGCGUAAAGGGUGUGUAGGCGGUUGUUUAAGUUUGGUGUGAAAUCUCCCGGCUCAACUGGGAGGGUGCGCCGAAUACUGAAUGACUGGAGUGCGGGAGAGGAAAGUGGAAUUCCUGGUGUAGCGGUGAAAUGCGUAGAUAUCAGGAGGAACACCGGUGGUGUAGACGGCUUUCUGGACCGUAACUGACGCUGAGAAACGAAAGCGUGGGUAGCAAACAGG
rnacentral:rRNA from 1 species